rnacentral:lncRNA from 1 species
AAAGUGAAGAGGGUUUUUAAUUGCAUUGAAUCGGCUUUAAGAUGUGAUAGCCUGAGUGUGUGUGUGUUGUUUUAUUUUUAUUUAUUUAUUUAUUUUGUUUAAAUUAUACAUGAAGCUGAUCAAAAAUAAUAAACAAUCACUUAAAUUAACUUAUUUUAUAUAUAUAUUUUUUUACAGUAGAAUUGUUUUUAUGUAGUUGUUUUAUCAGAAAUGUCUGUUUUUGGUAUAAAAUGAGCCUGAAGUAACUGCUUUCAAUCUUCCGAUGGCAAGAUAGCAUUGUUUUAUAUAAUCAAGAGAGUGUGUGAAAUCAUACAUUGUUUGUAUGCUGUAUUGUGAGCAAAAAAAGUCAUUAUGUGGUUUGGAACUAGCUAAAAACUAUUCAAAUGAUAAGAAAGUACCAACUAAACAACAUUAAAAUCACAAACAACAACAUGAACAAAAAAAAAAAUAAUAAUAAAUAAAUAAUAUAAAACAAAAAUAUAAAAAUGCUAUCAAGGAUACACAUAAAAAUGUAACUACAUGAAUCUUAUGUUUUGGUUAGUGGAAUAUAUAAUGGAUAUAUUUAUAUACAAAUAUGGUAUCUUAUUUAUUAAACUUAAUGUCUAUUUAUCUACAAAAAUCACUUAUUGGUUGAGGUUGUUUGCACUGUUUAGAAUCAUAAAUUUAAAUUGUUUAAAAUCAAUUCUACCUCACCUUGAACCCUCUUCCAUCUCCUAUCCUUGUUCUCAACCCUAUUUAGAACACUUCAAUGCUUGGUUCAAUCUAAUGGCAUAAAAAUGAUCACUAGCUUGGUAAAUAUAUUCUAAUAUAUAUAUAUAUAUAUAUAUAUAGAGAGAGAGAGAGAGAGAGAGAUCCACUAAAGUUUGAAUUGAUUUGGAUAUAAUGGUACACAUGCUAAAAAUAAUAAUCAUUAAAUACUAAAGUAAGUUUUAGAAGUCUUGAAAUAAUUAUUGGAACAACAUCUUAUAUUUCCUUCUUUAUGAAUAAUGAGGCCUCCACUCCCUCCCCUUCUUUGGCAUGACUAAAUUGCUACUCUUUUAGCCUCAUUAGAAAUGGGUUUUUGUUUCUUCUGCUCCUUCUAAUAGCUUUGGUCCCUAUGUUGUUGUAGAUGUUGCUCUCAAGAUGUUGCUCUCAAUUAUAGCAUGCGCACUAUGGCUAGCCAUGGCAAGCUCUAUUCUCAAUUAAACUCACUUGUUUCAUGACAAUCAACAAAUCUCAAGGUGAAACAAUCUAUGUUUUAGGAUUUUGUAUGCCAAAAUAUGUAUUCUCUCAUGGGCAAUUAUAUAUUGCAUUGUUGUGUAUUGAAUCCAAACAUAAUAUCAUACUAUUUUCUAACAACAUUGAAUUCUUUAAAUAUGUUUCAAAUUUUGUUUGUAGUGAAAUAUUCAAACUCUAACAUUUUCCAUAACUGUAAGCCAAUGAAAUAUUUAUGUAUAUUUUUUUUCCAAUGCAAAAGUAAUGGCCACAUUGCUAGUAUAUAUAUAAGCAUAUAUAAUUGAUGCAUAAAGACAUCAACUAUUGUAAAAUUAUAACUAUAAGUUAUAAAUUAAUCAUAACUUUAUUAGUAAGUUAAUGAUCUUUUACAGAUAUCAUUACUUAAAGACAUCAAUUAAGUUAUUUAAUAUAGAUUAAAUGAUGAUUGUUAAUUACAUCAAAAUUUUAGAUGCUUUCAAUUUAUUAAAAAGUGAUUUAACUCAAGACUAUUUUAAGAAUGCGGUUUUAUGGUGCAUUCACAUGACUGAUAGUCCAUAUAUCUUUGUUAACAACAUAUUUUGUAUACUAGAUGUGUACAUGUAUGCAAAUAUUUUAUGUUUCUACAUUUCAAUACAAUAUUUCUUUUCCUUUUUCAUAAAAUAAUAAUGCUUACAUCUCAACUAAUUGAUAUUUAUGGAAAGCUACAAAAUUUCUAUUCAAUGUUAAAAUGUGUGAAAAUGCAUCUGCUUCUCUUAAUAAUAAUGUGUUUUUAUUUUCAAUAAAAAAAUAAUAUAAAUCAAAUUUAUAAAUAAAUGAUAAGUUGCUAAACUUCCAAAAACAAUUAAUCAACUUGUUGUGGAAGUUUGUGGAAAGAUAAUACAAUAAACCAUGGGUGGUAACCUUGCUACAUUUUGGAACCUUUCUGCUCUCUUUUGUAACCUUUUUGAUUUACUUUGGUUAGACCUUUUGAAGAAGAAAGUAAUACAAAUCAUGUUGUAAUGCUUGCACCUGAAGUUUUGUGUACCAAAUGAUUCAAAAGAAAAUUAGAAAUUGAACAACGAGUUUUUAGAUUUUGAGAUAAUAGGAUAAAACACAAAACUUGAGUAUUUUUCUAUCUAAUGUAUUUAUUUUUAUCUGGUACAUGGCUUGAGAUUAUUUUUAAACAUUCCCUGUGUUGCAUGGACAUGUUGAUUCAAGCUUCUAAUCAAGUAAUUUAACAGAAUAGAUUGAUUUAACAAAACAUCUCUAUAGAUGCAUGUGGAUUAAAACUCCAAAAGAAUUAACAUACACUCAACUCAAUCAUUAUUAUAUAUAUGGAAUAACUUCCGUUAUUAGGUUUACUUUUUGAUUUUCAAUUAAGAAUCAAUUCAAUAAGAACAUGGGUUUAUACAAAGUAUGAUAUGAUCAGAGGAGAUACUACUAAUCUUUGACUGCGCUAAGUUUCAAUUCAUCAAAAUAUAACCAAUCAUAAUUAAUACGAAAUAUUGAUAAAUAAUCAAAUAAUACUUAAAGAAUAGCAUGAAAGUUAUGAGGUAACAUGUCUAAUCUGUGUAAGAUUUGAACAUUUAUCACUUUUUGAGUAACUAACUCAGAAAAACUUUAAAAUCCAAAAUAAAUCAUGCAAUAGAAAAAAGUAGACAACUAAGGAAAAUGACAAAACCUGACUCACGGCAGUGAUUUUCACUGGAUUUCGCAAUAUUCCAAUUAAAGCCUCUCCACUACAAUGAAAACAUAUAUUCCAUAAAUAUGCAUUCACGAUCGCAUAAUACUUUUCUAACUAGAUUUCCCAGUUUUUGAUAUAAAAUCCUAAUCACCAAACACCACUUUUGCAAACCAUC